AUUAAUUAGUUGUCAAUUUUGUUUUAGCUUAAAUCGAAAUUUGGAUACAAAAAAAUAAAACACAAUUUUUUGGAAAAAAGAAAGUAUGAGAGACAUGACAAAAUGAUUGAUAGCUGGCUGGUUUUUUGAACAGAAAAGAAUUGAACGAAUUUUGAAGACGAAUCAUGUAGCAUUAAAAGACAUGCCGCAAAAAGAACAACAUUGAACAAAAUUAGUAGAUAUUCAAAAAAUUUUCAAUUUUGCAAGCGAAAAUUUCACAAGGGAAAAAAAGGAAAAUUGAAAAACCAAAAGAGUUGAAACGUACCUGGAGUCGGUGUUAUGUGGCCGGUUGAUGAGGGCCGUGAAUUCGGCAUGACCAGAUGCUGUUGCGAAUGACUUAGGACGCUCAAAUUGGUGGCCUGCUCUGCGCUUCCGUUCGUUCCACCUCCGCCACCGCCGCCGCCAGGCGCUCCAGUUAAUAUGCUGGCGUUGUUCAAGUGUGUGAUAACAUUCGCUGCACUAAGUGAGCCACCUGCACCACCUGCGGCACCUCCGUUGGCUGAGGCAUUGCUGCUGGUGCUGCUGCUGCUGGAACCGCUGCCCGUUGAGCCGUUGCUGUUAUGCUGAUUGUGUCCGCCGCUGGCGGAGAGAUCGCGUGGCGGCGACUGUGGCUCCGCCUUGACCUUGAUGGGGACGGGUGAGCUGGCGGGCGGCGGUGUGCUAUUCGAGACAGCCAAGUGCGAUAGACUGCAAGGCAGAUUAUGAUGUUGGUCGCCGUUAAGUGUUUGCCUGCUGGGACUGCUGCUGCUGCUAUUCGCCGGGCUCGGGGCCUGGACUACCCACCUAGUGUGCUGCUGGACGAGACCCGAAUGCCACUGCGGCAGGCUCAUAAUGUCCGCGCUCAUCGCCCCCGACGACGAGAAAUCCUGCGCCCCAAACGAGUAGCUGGUCAGCGCGGGCAUCGGUGUCUGCAGCGUCACCACUGGCGUGUUCAGCGACGUCUGGCUCUGACGCUGCUGCAAUGCAAAGCACAGAGAUGAGGGAUUUCAUUUGAUGGAGGAUAAAAGUUAAACUUAGUCAACUAAUCU